rnacentral:rRNA from 1 species
CAUGCUAGACGAGUUGAUCAUGGCUCAGAACGAACGCUGGCGGCAGGCCUAACACAUGCAAGUCGAGCGCCCCGCAAGGGGAGCGGCGGACGGGUGAGUAACGCGUGGGAACGUACCCUUUGCUACGGAAUAGCCUCGGGAAACUGGGAGUAAUACCGUAUGUGCCCUUCGGGGGAAAGAUUUAUCGGCAAAGGAUCGGCCCGCGUUGGAUUAGGUAGUUGGUGGGGUAAUGGCCUACCAAGCCGACGAUCCAUAGCUGGUUUGAGAGGAUGAUCAGCCACACUGGGACUGAGACACGGCCCAGACUCCUACGGGAGGCAGCAGUGGGGAAUCUUAGACAAUGGGCGCAAGCCUGAUCUAGCCAUGCCGCGUGAGCGAUGAAGGCCUUAGGGUUGUAAAGCUCUUUCAGUGGGGAAGAUAAUGACUGUACCCACAGAAGAAGCCCCGGCUAACUCCGUG